CGCGUAGGCGGAUGCAUAAGUGAGUAGUGAAAUCCCCUGGGCUUAACCUAGGAAUGGCAACUUAUACUGUGUAUCUGGAGUACUGUAGAGGGUAGUGGAAUUUCCGGUGUAGCGGUGAAAUGCGUAGAGAUCGGAAGGAACACCCGUGGCGAAGGCGGCUACCUGGACAGAUACUGACGCUGAGGCGCGAGAGCGGUGGGGAGCAAACAGGAUUAGAUACCCUGGUAGUCCACGCUGUAAACGAUGAAAACUAGAUGUUGGUCAGCGAGACUGAUUAGUAUCGAAGCUAACGCGAUAAGUUUUCCGCCUGGGGAGUACGGCCGCAAGGCUAAAA
rnacentral:rRNA from 1 species